AUGUUCAUAAAAUAAGUGCUGGGCUGUGAAUUUAGUGAUCAGAUUGAGGGAUUCAAUUUUGGAAGCUCUUUAUCACCUACUGAACAGUGAUGAAGCACUUGGUUUCUUUGAAGCAUUUCAUGCGCUUCUUGCCUUCCUCAUCUCGUUUCUGGCUGCCUUAAUUGGUUUACACUUUCAAGUCUUGGGUGUCUCACCACUUCAAACACAUUUUGCUCUCAUCUUGCUUUUCAUCAUCGCUACAAUCGUCUAUAGCAUUGCGUAUGCAGAGAUAAAACUACAACCUCCAGGCGCUGACCUUCCCAUAUUCAGGUUCAUUUGUCUGGUUUCUGGAGUUAUUGCUAUUGAGCUACUUGUCACAAUAAUCAUUUCUCCCUUUUGGCUAUUCAUGGUUAAUUUAUGUCCAAUCCUGAUCAUAGGGGUACUGCGUCAUUUGUACCAACAAAGUUAUCAGUGGCUCUACUACACAGUUAAUUUAUUCCUCAAUGCAGUAUGUAGCUUGUUUAAAAAGAUCUAUCAAUCAGUUUAUCAGAUAUAUAACUGGCUCCUACAGAAAUUCCAAUAAGCAGCUUCUGAAGCAUUUUCUUCAAGUGAACAGGAAGAAAAUGGUAUUCAGGUGAAAUAAUUGUUUAAGUGACCUAUGUUUUGAAAAGACAAAUUAUUUGAGUUACCUAUUAUUGUUAAUUAGACAUAAAGUGUGCUAAAUGUUCACUUAUG